rnacentral:rRNA from 2 species
CAGUCGAGCGGACGAUGGGAGCUUGCUCCCUGAAGUCAGCGGCGGACGGGUGAGUAACACGUGGGCAACCUGCCUGUAAGACUGGGAUAACUUCGGGAAACCGGAGCUAAUACCGGAUAAUGCUUUUGGACUCAUGUCCUUAAGCUGAAAGAUGGUUUCGGCUAUCACUUACAGAUGGGCCCGCGGCGCAUUAGCUAGUUGGUGAGGUAACGGCUCACCAAGGCAACGAUGCGUAGCCGACCUGAGAGGGUGAUCGGCCACACUGGGACUGAGACACGGCCCAGACUCCUACGGGAGGCAGCAGUAGGGAAUCUUCCGCAAUGGACGAAAGUCUGACGGAGCAACGCCGCGUGAGUGAUGAAGGUUUUCGGAUCGUAAAACUCUGUUGUUAGGGAAGAACAAGUAUCGGAGUAACUGCCGGUACCUUGACGGUACCUAACCAGAAAGCCACGGCUAACUACGUGCCAGCAGCCGCGGUAAUACGUAGGUGGCAAGCGUUGUCCGGAAUUAUUGGGCGUAAAGCGCGCGCAGGCGGUCCUUUAAGUCUGAUGUGAAAGCCCACGGCUCAACCGUGGAGGGUCAUUGGAAA